CCUACGGGUGGCAGCAGUGGGGAAUAUUGGGCAAUGGGCGCAAGCCUGACCCAGCAACGCCGCGUGAAGGAAUAAGGCUUUCGGGUUGUUAACUUCUUUUCUCAGGGACGAAGCAAGUGACGGUACCUGAGGAAUAAGCUACGGCUAACUACGUGCCAGCAGCCGCCGGAAUACGUAGGUGGGAAGCGUUAUCCGGAUUUACUGGGGGUAAAGGGUGUGUAGGCGGGACUGCAAGUCAGCUGUGAAAACCACGGGCUCAACCUGUGGCCUGCAUUUGAAACUGUAGUUCUUGAGUACUGGAGAGGCAGGCGGAAUUCGUGGUGUAGCGGUGAAAUGCGUAGAUAUUAGGAUGAACACCAGUGGCGAAGGCGGUCUGCUGGACAGCAACUGACGCUGAGGCGCGAAAGCGUGGGGAGCAAACAGGAUUAGAUACCCGGGUAGUC
rnacentral:rRNA from 1 species